CCUACGGGGUGCAGCAGUGGGGAAUAUUGGGCAAUGGGCGCAAGCCUGACCCAGCAACGCCGCGUGAGGGAAGAAGGCUUUCGGGUUGUACACUUCUUUUAAGAGGGAAGAGCAGAAGACGGUACCUCUUGAAUAAUCCACGGCUAACUACGUGCCAGCAGCCGCGGUAAUACGUAGGUGGCAAGCGUUGUCCGGAUUUAAUGGGUGGAAAGGGCGUGCAGCCGGGAAGACAAGUCAGAUGUGAAAUCCCGCGGCUCAACCGCGGAACUGCAUUUGAAACUGUUUUUCUUGAGUACCGUAGAGGGCAUCGGAAUUCCUUGUGGAGCGGUGAAAUGCGUAGAUAUAAGGAAGAACACCAGUGGCGAAGGCAGCUUACUAAGCUGCCACUGACAUUGAUGCUCGAAAGUGUGGGGAUCAAACAGGAUUAGAUACCCCAGUAGUC
rnacentral:rRNA from 1 species